rnacentral:piRNA from 1 species
AUAGGAUACCUGAUGCCAGUCUGGUGUAUCC